rnacentral:lncRNA from 1 species
CCUCUACGACACUCUAACACAACACUCUAACCUGGGCCCUGGUGACAUUGUGUUCCUCCUCUCUAUCGGCAAUAUCCUAUCUCCCUACCACAAAGGCCAGAAGAAGGAACUAUCAACCGACCGGGCCCACAGUCAUUCGGGUCACCGCGCGACAGCCCACAAUCCUUCGGGUCACUGCCACAUUACACCGUCGUGUAAUACUCAGCCAU